rnacentral:rRNA from 1 species
GGGAUAACGUCGAGAAAUCGGCGCUAAUACCGUAUAAUGCAGCGGCAUCGCAUGAUGAUGUUGUUAAAGUUCAUGAAACGCCUAUGGAUGAGCUUGUAUCUGAUUAGCUUGUUGGUGAGGUAAUGGCUCACCAAGGCAGUGAUCAGUAGCUGGUCUGAGAGGAUGAUCAGCCACAUUGGAACUGAGACACGGUCCAG